rnacentral:rRNA from 1 species
UACGUAGGGGGCAAGCGUUGUCCGGAUUUAUUGGGCGUAAAGAGCGUGUAGGCGGCCAAGCAGGUCCGCUGUGAAAACUCGAGGCUCAACCUCGAGACGUCGGUGGAAACCGUUUGGCUAGGAGUCCGGAAGAGGAGAGUGGAAUUCCCGGUGUAGCGGUGAAAUGCGCAGAUAUCGGGAAGAACACCCGUGGCGAAGGCGGCUCUCUGGGACGGUACUGACGCUGAGACGCGAAAGCGUGGGGAGCGAACAGG